rnacentral:rRNA from 1 species
GACGAACGCUGGCGGCGUGCUUAACACAUGCAAGUCGAACGGAAAGGCCCGCUUGCGGGUACUCGAGUGGCGAACGGGUGAGUAACACGUGAGUAACCUGCCCUUAACUCUGGGAUAAGCCUGGGAAACUGGGUCUAAUACCGGAUAUGACUCCUCAUCGCAUGGUGGGGGGUGGAAAGCUUUAUUGUGGUUUUGGAUGGACUCGCGGCCUAUCAGCUUGUUGGUGAGGUAAUGGCUCACCAAGGCGACGACGGGUAGCCGGCCUGAGAGGGUGACCGGCCACACUGGGACUGAGACACGGCCCAGACUCCUACGGGAGGCAGCAGUAGGGAAGAAGCGAAAGUGACGGUACCUGCAGAAGAAGCGCCGGCUAACUACGUGCCAGCAGCCGCGGUAAUACGUAGGGCGCAAGCGUUAUCCGGAAUUAUUGGGCGUAAAGAGCUCGUAGGCGGUUUGUCGCGUCUGCCGUGAAAGUCCGGGGCUCAACUCCGGAUCUGCGGUGGGUACGGGCAGACUAGAGUGAUGUAGGGGAGACUGGAAUUCCUGGUGUAGCGGUGAAAUGCGCAGAUAUCAGGAGGAACACCGAUGGCGAAGGCAGGUCUCUGGGCAUUAACUGACGCUGAGGAGCGAAAGCAUGGGGAGCGAACAGGAUUAGAUACCCUGGUAGUCCAUGCCGUAAACGUUGGGCACUAGUGUGGGGGACAUUCCACGUUUUCCGCGCCGUAGCUAACGCAUUAAGUGCCCCGCCUGGGGAGUACGGCCGCAAGGCUAAA